UACGUAGGCAGCGAGCGUUGUUCGGAAUUACUGGGCGUAAAGAGUGUGUAGGCGGCGCUCUAAGUUCGGUGUGAAAUCUCUCGGCUUAACUGGGAGGGUGCGCCGGAAACUGGAGUGCUCGAACGUGGGAGAGGAAAGCGGAAUUCCUGGUGUAGCGGUGAAAUUCGUAGAUAUCGGGAGGAACACCAGUGGCGAAGGCGGCUCUCUGGGCAGAUACUGACACUGAGACGCGAAAGCGUGGGUAGCAAACAGG
rnacentral:rRNA from 1 species